AAGAGUCACCUAUUUUUCCACGACAUCAUGUUUGAAAUCAUAAUUAAUAUUCAUGUAACGUGUGUGCCGCCGCACGCACGCAACCCCGUUUCCACCUUUUUAGCAUGGUAGAAGAAGAGGAAAGCGACGAAUCAUAUGACACGCAGAACUUGACCUCAUCUGACAGCUUUCCAAAAGAAUGGAUAGAGCAAAGGCUUUCAUUUCGUCCAACACGCCAACGACUUUGCGGUUCAUGAAGUUCCCUCUGGAAGGGGUCAUUCACACAAAGCCGCGACCUCCCCUCAGCCGGACCCACGUGAUCAGCUAGCAUCAGCGUCGGACCUCACUUUUGGUUUUGUGGCAGAAUGGGAACAUCCCCGCAGCAAGGAAAAUGAUGAGAACGAAAGUCCAAGAUGUGGCCGAAAAGUGAGGAGAAAAGCCAGACGGAGACGGUGCGCGGCGAAGAACUGAUGAGGAGCUGGAAACUGACAUCAUUUGCCUGUCAGAAUUAAUUAGGGCUAAAAUGUCAAAUGGGAUCAGAAAGUGCGAGUCAGUCCCAGACUCCACUGGCACCGUCGGUCGUCAUCCGCUCAUGCGUUUGUCCAGCGAAAGUUUGUUCAAAGGAGUUUCCGUGCUGACGUGUCAUUAGAGUGUGCAGAGCUCGCUCCUCCUCCUCCCGUCGCUCCAAACAGAAAGACGACUCUUGGCCAUCAGUCAAAUAGAAUGUGAAGGAGCACGCCGAAUCCAUUUUCAUGGUGUUUGGCAAGCGGCCAGCAUGAAAAUGGAUUCUGAAAACCGCACGCAUGCCACCUUGUGACCUGGCGACCGUCACCUCAGGAAAUGACGAAGGUUUCAAUGUCUGAAUUCCAGUUACUAAAAUCUGCGUUCAUGAUUAAUCCAGCCGUUGGAUUAAGAUGUGACAGAAAAUAUGAUCGGGCACAGCAUAACCUCAAAGAAUUGCUGCGGCAAUACUUCAUCCCUGAUGGGGGGGUGAAGAAAAGAAAAGAAAAACCCUCUUAUGCACUUUAGGGAAACACAAAGAGGCUUAAAACUAGCGGGUGAAGAUAGAAGAGACACAAACAGACCCUGCGGGGAUUAAUAAGAAUACAACAUACAAAAGAGAAAGAGAAAUGAAAAGUGCACGGGCAGAGUGCAAAAAAAAAAGCACACAAAGAUAAAUAGGAGCAUCCCUGCAAGACGGAUCAACACCGGUGACAAUUUGUGACUCUGAAAUUGAAUAGAUGGAGAAAAAUCAUGAAAGCAAAAAGGGAUCGUAUUUCAAUUCAAAGAGUUUUGCUGCAAUACAAUUCUUCUCUUGUCCAACACAACGCUUUAACGAA